CCUACGGGGGGCAGCAGUAGGGAAUAUUGCUCAAUGGGGGAAACCCUGAAGCAGCAACGCCGCGUGGAGGAUGAAGGUUUUCGGAUUGUAAACUCCUUUUGUUAGAGAAGAUAAUGACGGUAUCUAACGAAUAAGCACCGGCUAACUCCGUGCCAGCAGCCGCGGUAAUACGGAGGGUGCAAGCGUUACUCGGAAUCACUGGGCGUAAAGGGCGCGUAGGCGGGAUAGCAAGUCAGAUGUGAAAUCCUAUGGCUUAACCAUAGAACUGCAUUUGAAACUGUUAUUCUAGAGUAUGGGAGAGGUAGGUGGAAUUCUUGGUGUAGGGGUGAAAUCCGUAGAGAUCAAGAGGAAUACUCAUUGCGAAGGCGACCUGCUAGAACAUAACUGACGCUGAUGCGCGAAAGCGUGGGGAGCAAACAGGAUUAGAUACCCGAGUAGUC
rnacentral:rRNA from 1 species